rnacentral:rRNA from 1 species
UACGUAGGGUCCGAGCGUUGUCCGGAAUUAUUGGGCGUAAAGGGCUCGUAGGCGGUUUGUCGCGUCGGGAGUGAAAUCAUCUGGCUUAACUGGGUGCUUGCUUUCGAUACGGGCAGACUAGAGGUAUGCAGGGGAGAACGGAAUUCCUGGUGUAGCGGUGAAAUGCGCAGAUAUCAGGAAGAACACCCGUGGCGAAAGCGGCUCUCUGGAACGGUACUGACGCUGAGACGCGAAAGCGUGGGGAGCGAACAGG